rnacentral:rRNA from 1 species
GUCUAUGGCCAUGCCACCCUGAACAAGCUUAAUCCCGUCUGAUCUUGGAAGCUAAGUAGAGUAGGGUAUGGUUAGUACUUGGAUGGGAGACCACCUAGGAAGACCAGGUGCUAAAGGCA